UACGUAGGGCGCAAGCGUUGUCCGGAAUUAUUGGGCGUAAAGCGCGCGUAGGCGGCUACCUAAGUCGGAUGUGAAAGCCCCUGGCUUAACUGGGGAAGUGCACCCGAAACUGAGUAGCUAGAGUGCAAAAGAGGGUCGCGGAAUUCCCGGUGUAGAGGUGAAAUUCGUAGAUAUCGGGAGGAACACCGGUGGCGAAGGCGGCGACCUGGGUUGACACUGACGCUGAGGCACGAAAGCUAGGGGAGCAAACAGG
rnacentral:rRNA from 1 species